UCAGGCCUAACACAUGCAAGUCGAGGGGCAGCAUAAUAAAAGCUUGCUUUUAUGGUGGCGACCGGCGCACGGGUGCGUAACGCGUAUGCAACCUACCUUAUACUGGGGUAUAGCCCGGAGAAAUUCGGAUUAAUCCCCCAUAGUAUCAAUUAUUCGCAUGUUUGAUUGAUUAAAGGUUACGGUAUAAGAUGGGCAUGCGUCCCAUUAGCUAGAUGGUGAGGUAACGGCUCACCAUGGCGACGAUGGGUAGGGGGCCUGAGAGGGUGGUCCCCCACACUGGUACUGAGACACGGACCAGACUCCUACGGGAGGCAGCAGUGAGGAAUAUUGGUCAAUGGGCGAGAGCCUGACAGAGCCAUGCCGCGUGCAGGAAGACGGUCCUAUGGAUUAAAGAUGCUUUUAUUUGGGAAUAAACUCCGAUAC
rnacentral:rRNA from 1 species